GGACAGGGUAGGGAUGCUGAGAUUAUAGAUACCUUCAUGGUUUGUUUUAUGGGAAAAAUAAGGGAGGAUGUUAGGAAUGAGGGUGUUCAAGAGCUCUCUUCUAGUUAUGUCCAGGAGGAGAGGUCACAAAUACAGCUCACUCUCUUAACCUGAACAAAGUUAGCUCUAGAGUAUAGAAAAGAGUAAGAAGACAUCAUAGAUGGAGCCUGAAUUGUAUUUGUGGAUGUAACAUUUGAGAGCACGGGACAGAAAAAGGGCAUAAUGCUGAGAGACUCCAGCCAAAUGCUACAAGUGGACGGAUAUGAAAGAUUAGAGUGAUAUAAGGAAGUAGUAUCACA